CCUGUGCUACAGCAAACAAACCCGUUCAGGUAUGCCUGUGCUACAGCAAACAAACCCGUUCAGGUAUGCCUGCGCUACAGCAAACAAAGAAAAUUAGAAGG